rnacentral:SRP_RNA from 1 species
GCCGGGCGCGGUGGCGCAUGCCUGUAGUCCCAGCUACUCGGGAGGCUGAGGUGGGAGGAUCGCUUGACCCCAGUAGUUCUGGGCUGUAGUGCGCUGUGCUGAUUGGGUGUCCACACUAAGUUCAGCAUCAAUAUGGUGACCUCCUGGGAGCCGGGGACCACCAGCUUGCCUAAGGAGGGGUGAACCAGCCCAGGUUGGAAACAGAGCAGGUCAAAACUGUGCUGAUCAACAGUGGGAUCGCGCCUGUGAAUAGCCACUGCACUCCAGCCUGGGCAACAUAGCGAGACCCCGUCUCU